rnacentral:rRNA from 1 species
CAGUCGUACCUUCGGGUAAUCAGCCUUUCGGGUGCGAUUCUGUGGAGUGUGAGGAGCUUAACACCUUCAUGCUUUGCAUAUUUGUGCUCUUGGGUGUACUUGCUCGUGUGGUUGGUUAACAUCAAUUUUGAUUAUCAUAAAAUGAUUGGAGGAAUGUAGCUUCGAUCUCGUAUCGAAGUGUUAUAGCCUUCGGUAGAUGUGAUGAUCGAGAUUGAGGAUUGCAACGGAUACCCUUCGGGGCUACCUGUCUGGUCUCUGAUCGUUGCUCUGGUGCCGAAAGCGUGCUUACGGUUAUCAAAGUCGAUGGUCAAUAGGUUAGAACGGGUUAAA